GAAAACAAGACAAGAAGGCGUAUUCCGCAUUUACGUGUUCGCCGGAACGGCUCUUCUUUAUCCUCUCGCCGGGCAACCGACGCCGUCCACUCCGGCUUCGCCAGUUCGCCUCCUUCGCCGUCGCCAUGGCCGACGCUAAAUCCCAAGGCCGAGCACCGACUACCGCUCCCGCUCCCGCUCCCGCUCCCACAUGGGCGCAACGGACCGAGGCCCUGACACACAUCCUGACCCACCCGUCCCACUCGCCGUCGCUCCACUCGCAGCUCUUCCUCGCGUCCCGCGUCCCGUGCCCACCUCGGGGCUCCUCCUACCCGCCUUUCCUCUGCCCCGGCGCGUCGCUCCUCCGGUGGGCCCUCACCUCCGUCUUCCUGCCCCGCGCCGCGCGCCUUGGCCUGCCGCCUUCGUCCUGGCGCUCCCGGUGCCCCUUCCAGUUCCCGCCGCCGCUCGUGCCCUCCGCCGGCAUCGAGCCGGCACCGGAGCGGUGGACCGAGGCCGAGCUCCGGGGGUACGCGCAGCGGCGGCGGGCUCGGAGGGGGCCCAUGAGGACGCGGCCGCCGGUGUCCAUGGCGGGGGUGGUGCUGACGACCGUGCCCAACAUCGUGAUCAUCGUGGUCAUCAUGCGCGAGCUCUUCUGGGUCCGGCCUGGCCGCUUCUGAGCCAUUCAGGUAAGCGGAUGCUCACGCAGCCGUGCGAGUUCUUCAACUGUGGACUGCGGUGCACUGACAUUGUGUGAUAGUAGCAUAUUUGUUAUACAAAACAAAUCGUCGACUGCAGCUUGCGAAAUUGUGACACUAUUUCCAGCGUCUUCCAGUUUGGGUAGAACUUGUGAAUGCAGUGUUAUUUGUUACUCGUACAACUUUUAGCUGCAGAUGUUGCUCAACUAGGCUUCUCCAAAGAGAAAGCAUUCAAGUCUGAGAUAGAUGCUGCGAUCACCUGUUUUAGCUGCAGAUGUUGCUGAACUAGCCUUCUCCAAAGCACAAGUCUGGGACAGAUGCCGCGCUAACCUGUUCAACUGUUCAGCGAGAAACAACAAAUCGAUGAUCAGGAGGCACAUGGAUCUCAACUGCUCCAUCAAGCACCUGGGUCAUCUUAUGCAUUUUAGGGCGUGUCGCUUGCUCCUGUCAUUGCAGUAGUUGGUGUUCCCUGGUUCGAUCACUUGCCAUACUCAACCUAUUUACAGGUUGACUCCACACACCGCAGUGCCACUGCCACAAACAGCUGGACCCUCUUCAUGUCAAGGGAAGCUGCCUUGUCUUCCAGCACCAGAAGAUUGAUAUAUCCAGCCCAGUCCGUUAGAAUUGCUCUAUCCUCA